rnacentral:lncRNA from 1 species
UUUUCUAUCUUCUGAGAUACACAUCCGCCUCCUCCUCAAUGAUUCCACUUUCAAAUCCUUCUCAUCCUCAAUAAAUCAUCUUCCAUUUGUUCUUUUCAAGAUCUGCCUCCGCCAAGCACUUUAAUGUUAUCAUCAACGGUGAUAUUUCAAGUGAGGAUCCGAUAGAAUAAAGGGUUAAAAAUAUCAUCAACGGUUAUAUUUCAAGUGAAGAUCCUAUAGAAUAAAGAUACAAGAAUAUAAGAAAAAAGGCAGAAACCGUCAAGAGCUCUUCUACAGUUCCUACAAAUGGUGCUACAUGCCUACAUCAAAUGGUAACAUGGAGAGAACCCCUUUGUCCGACAUUACAAAUGGUUUGGGUAUGUCGGGCGUGAGCAGAUUUGGACCAUGGGAACUGAACGCUGCAACCACCGGUGAUGAGCAACUGUAACAUUAGUAGCGAAACAAGAGGAUGCUUGUUUAUCUCUGGGCUUUUGUCUUUAAUAUGUCUUUUUAUAAAGUCCAUACGUCUGUUACUUUGAAGAUCUUGGUUCCAAAACCUCAUCCUCAAACACGGUUUAGAUUUCUUAAACCUAUUGAAAUAUUAGUUUUCAAAAUGGAACCUCAAAACACAACCAUGUUGAACAAUCUCAAUCCUUUGUCAAACAACUAU